GACAUGGGCUCUUUCUUUCUCAACACCGUAAACUGAUAACUAAUACGUACAUCACAUGGAGAACUGCUGGUUCAUGGGGGAUUUCUCUCUCUGAUGUGGCCAUGGAUCAGAUGAUGUAACAUCUCGAUUGAUAGCCUACACAUCUAAGAUGGAAAAUAAAUUAAUAACAAGGCUUACAUACAUGACACCAAAACAAAGCAUACAUGUUCAUUCAUUGAUGCCAGGCAUGUAAGCAUCCACACACACACACACACACACACACACACACACACACACACACACACACACACACACACACACACACCUUAGUGUCUGAUGACAGGUCUUUAGAGAGUCUGAGACACACACAUAUACACCGUUUUUUUCUUCUGCUCACUUAUCCAUUUUUAAUGUGUGACUGAUAAAGGUUGCUAGACAGAUUACAGACUACAGACUACUAUUCAUGAAUUACCUGUGGUGGUGGUUGCCUUUUAACAAUGAUGAUUUGAACACUGCUGCUACACCUCACUCUCCAAGGUAGGCCUACAUAAAUUAAUUCAAUUGAGGAACCUACUGAAGGGAAGAGAAAAUUCACCACCUCUUGUAGGACAGUGGAAGUUGAUAAGAGUGCUUCUAUAUUUUUAAACGUAGAACCAAUACCAACAUGUUUUCGGCCCACCCCAUAGUUUUUCUUUUGACAUUGACAGAAUGAAAAUGAUAGAGGAUUUUGUAUUUUUCAAAAUCCCCAAGGACCAAUCACAAACGGAAUACAAAACAAAACAUGAUGUGAUUGGUAAAUGAGUUGAUCACAUGGUUCUGUUCAAAGGAAGCCGAAAAGGUAUGGAUAUCAAGAUUUGGUGCUCGGUGUUAUUUUGUUGGUUUUGGCGGUAAAGGCGCGUUACAAACGUAUGUUCUCUAGUCUAGGUUUAGGAAGAGAAGUAGCCUAGGCCCUAGGCUAGAUGGAUGACUUUUCGUGCUAUUGAUAGCACCCGAGGCAGUAUUUAUUGGAGAGGUGAGAGUGAGAAUUUAUCACAGGAAACAGUGAAUCUCUCUCAAGAUGGAAAAGGUUAUCCCAGAUUCACAGAUGUCUCAAAUAUUUACAUAAGUAAAUCUCCCGGCCUAAAGGAUCAAAUGUAUGAAGACAUAGCGAAUGAUGGCACCCCCACGUCUUCCUGUCCUGACUGGAGGUCAGCUGUUAGUUCUACAGCUACUGUUGCAGAGGAGCUGCAAAACAGGUGGCUGCAGCAAAUGUGUAUCGGUAUCAAAGUAUGCCCGAUCAGCAUGGACUACACUGACUGA
rnacentral:lncRNA from 13 species